rnacentral:rRNA from 1 species
GAUGAACGCUGGCGGCGUGCCUAAUACAUGCAAGUCGAGCGAACAGACGAGGAGCUUGCUCCUCUGACGUUAGCGGCGGACGGGUGAGUAACACGUGGAUAACCUACCUAUAAGACUGGGAUAACUUCGGGAAACCGGAGCUAAUACCGGAUAAUAUAUUGAACCGCAUGGUUCAAUAGUGAAAGACGGUUUUGCUGUCACUUAUAGAUGGAUCCGCGCCGCAUUAGCUAGUUGGUAAGGUAACGGCUUACCAAGGCAACGAUGCGUAGCCGACCUGAGAGGGUGAUCGGCCACACUGGAACUGAGACACGGUCCAGACUCCUACGGGAGGCAGCAGUAGGGAAUCGUCCGCAAUGGGCGAGAGCCUGACGGAGCAGCGCCGCGUGAGUGAUGAAGGUCUUCGGAUCGUAAAACUCUGUUAUUAGGGAAGAACAAAUGUGUAAGUAACUAUGCACGUCUUGACGGUACCUAAUCAGAAAGCCACGGCUAACUACGUG